GAACGCGGUUGUUUGGAAGCCGGGAAAACGCGGUCGGGAUCCUGGAGCCCGGCUGUUCGCGGCGCUGGCUGUCGUCCCCUGCAGCUGCCGCCCUACCCGACCAAAUGGGUCUCCCGGCGGCUGCCCGCGUCCUUCCCCAGGUUCAAGAUCCGGAUCUUGGAGAGAACACAGCAGUGACUCACAGAGGUGAUGGAGGUCUGUGUGGCACUGUGCUGGCCGAACUUGCUGGAAACCUGUCCUUUGGAAAGUGCUGGAAAUCCAUCAUCUAGGGUGCUGGAUAAAGCUAUUUAUGGGAAGUUGCAGAAGCAGUGAUGAGAACCAAUCAAGUGACAAGCAUGAAGUUUAAAAACUCCUCUUUAGGAGUGGAUCCAGAAGAUGUGGUACAUAUACACAAUGGAAUAUUA